rnacentral:lncRNA from 1 species
AUGAUAUUCUCGAAUUUCGAACUAUAUGUAACGUCUCCAAUAAUCACACAUCGAAGGGGAUAUUGAUUCCAAUCAGUUUAUAUGAGGUCUACACGUUAGUAAUAAUAACUGGAUUUAAGCAUUUUGGGUCAGUAGUUUGGGUCCAACCAGUUAUUAUUGCUAGCUAGUCGAGUCGUUACAUUUGGUAUCAGAGCCGAAUACCAGCCGAAAAUGUGAGAGCUAAGUGUUAUGCUGGACAAAGUGCUACACCAACGGGUUUGGUGAGAGCCACCUCUUGAACCCGUAGGAGCCACCUCUAGAAUCUCACAUCGUCUGGUAAUUCUGAUCCUAAUUUGUCUGUCUGUGAUAUAGUUUGGACGUCCCCAAUAGUCCCACAUUGGAUAGGAUACUGCUUCUGAUCAGUUUAUAUGAGGCCUAUACGCUAAUAAUAAUAACUGGGCUUAAGCAUUUUGGGCCAGUGGUUUAGUCCCAACAAAUUAUUAUUGCUAGCGGGUCGGGUCGUUACACUGUAAUACUGUGU